CGCGGGGUGGAGCAGUCUGGUAGCUCGUUGGGCUCAUAACCCAAAGGUCGUAGGUUCAAAUCCUGCCCCCGCUA
rnacentral:tRNA from 1 species